CCUACGGGAGGCAGCAGUGGGGAAUAUUGCACAAUGGGGGAAACCCUGAUGCAGCGACGCCGCGUGAGUGAAGAAGUAUUUCGGUAUGUAAAGCUCUAUCAGCAGGGAAGAAAUAAAGUCCUUCGGACUUUGGACGGUACCUGACUAAGAAGCUCCGGCUAACUACGUGCCAGCAGCCGCGGUAAUACGGAGGGGGCAAGCGUUAUCCGGAUUUACUGGGUGUAAAGGGAGAGUAGACGGCAGCGCCAGUCUGGAGUGAAAUCCCAUGGCUUAACCAUGGAACUGCUGUUGAAACUGUGCAGCUGGAGUGCAGGAGAGGUAAGCGGAAUUCCUAGUGGAGCGGUGAAAUGCGUAGAUAUUAGGAGGAACACCAGUGGCGAAGGCGGCUUACUGGACUGUAACUGACGUUGAGGCUCGAAAGCGUGGGGAGCAAACAGGAUUAGAUACCCCAGUAGUC
rnacentral:rRNA from 1 species